rfam:Orchesella cincta Ocin01_Sc2618, whole genome shotgun sequence.
AUUGGAUUUGGAGAUGACGUCCCGAUAACCCCAGUUGGAAAGAUUGUAGGGGCACUCUGCGCCAUCACUGGUGUACUCACUAUUGCUCUUCCCGUGCCUGUGAUUGUCUCAAAC